AACGCAACUUGCGCCCUCUGGUAUUCCGGAGGGCAUGCCUGUUUGAGUGUCGUGAACACCUCAACCCUCCAAUGUUUUUUUUGCAUUGAAGGUGUUGGUAGUGAGCGCUGCCGGACUUUGGAUCGGCUCGCUUUAAAAUCAUUAGCUGGAUCCAUUCUGACCUGGUUCUACUCGGCGUAAUAAGUUAUUAUCGUCGAGGACGCGUGGCCUUCUAGGCAGGCGGCCACAGUAAGGGUGUUUGAACCGCUUCCAACAUGUCUUGCUCUUGUAGCAAACACUUGAACAUCUGACCUCAAAUCAGGCAGGACUACCCGCUGAACUUAA
rnacentral:misc_RNA from 1 species